rnacentral:rRNA from 1 species
AACGUGGACCCGUGAUCCGGGUUGCGGACAGUGUCUGGUGGGUAGUUUGACUGGGGCGGUCUCCUCCUAAAGAGUAACGGAGGAGCACGAAGGUUGGCUAAUCCUGGUCGGACAUCAGGAGGUUAGUGCAAUGGCAUAAGCCAGCUUGACUGCGAGCGUGACGGCGCGAGCAGGUGCGAAAGCAGGUCAUAGUGAUCCGGUGGUUCUGAAUGGAAGGGCCAUCGCUCAACGGAUAAAAGGUACUCCGGGGAUAACAGGCUGAUACCGCCCAAGAGUUCAUAUCGACGGCGGUGUUUGGCACCUCGAUGUCGGCUCAUCACAUCCUGGGGCUGAAGUAGGUCCCAAGGGUAUGGCUGUUCGCCAUUUAAAGUGGUACGCGAGCUGGGUUUAGAACGUCGUGAGACAGUUCGGUCCCUAUCUGCCGUGGGCGCUGGAGAACUGAGGGGGGCUGCUCCUAGUACGAGAGGACCGGAGUGGACGCAUCACUGGUGUUCGGGUUGUCAUGCCAAUGGCACUGCCCGGUAGCUAAAUGCGGAAGAGAUAAGUGCUGAAAGCAUCUAAGCACGAAACUUGCCCCGAGAUGAGUUCUCCCUGAGACUUAGAGUCUCCUGAAGGAACGUUGAAGACGACGACGUUGAUAGGCCGGGUGUGUAAGCGCAGCGAUGCGUUGAGCUAACCGGUACUAAUGAACCGUGAGGCUUAACCUUACAACGCCGAAGCUGUU